rnacentral:rRNA from 1 species
CCAUAAAACCAUUCUCAGUUCGGAUUGUAGGCUGCAACUCGCCUACAUGAAGCUGGAAUCGCUAGUAAUCGCGGAUCAGCAUGCCGCGGUGAAUACGUUCCCGGGCCUUGUACACACCGCCCGUCACACCACGAGAGUUUGUAACACCCGAAGUCGGUGGAGUAACCGUAAGGAGCUAGCCGCCUAA